CGCCCGUAUGUCUUGUAUUGGAUGAUGGGAUUUAAACCUCUUCCAGAGUAUCAAUUGGAGGGCAAGUCUGGUGCCAGCAGCCGCGGUAAUUCCAGCUCCAAUAGCGUAUAUUAAAAUUGUUGCAGUUAAAAAGCUCGUAGUUGAAUUUCUGCUGCAUUGCUUUUGCUCCUUUACGAGUCUUUGCAUUGUGGCUUAUUUCGGACUUUGUUUUACAAUGUCCGGAUGUUUACUUUGAGAAAAUUAGAGUGCUCAAAGCAGGCUUUCGCCUUGAAUAGUUUAGCAUGGAAUAAUAAAGUAGGACUUUGGUUCUAUUUUGUUGGUUUUAGGUACCAAAGUAAUGGUUAAUAGGAACAGUUGGGGGCAUUCGUAUUUAACUGUCAGAGGUGAAAUUCUUAGAUUUGUUAAAGACGAACUACUGCGAAAGCAUUUGCCAAGGAUGUUUUCAUUAAUCAAGAACGAAAGUUAGGGGAAUCGAAAAAA
rnacentral:rRNA from 1 species